CUGUGCGUGUGUCAUGAAUACUGCAAUGUUCCAGAGACUGACUGGCGAUUUCUGCAGAGGAUCAGCUUUUUUUUUUUCACUCUUAGUUUUUGGAAUUCAAAUCCACUUAUGCUAGCUGCCUAUUAGUGUCAUGGCUGCAUCAUCCCUGCGAGUAAUUCUGAAAAUCAAGCAAAGCACUUACACGGUACCCAGGACCUGAUGGGAGUUUCUUUUUCGGAGCAGGCAACAGCCAGCGAGGGGAGGGAUGGAGAAGUUGCACUGCUUCCCGGAGAAAGAAGUCCUGAUGGGCACCAAGCUGCAGCGAGUUGAGUGGCCCUGCAAGAGAAACCCACACGCAGAGCUCUGGACAGGAAGAGCAGGGAAGGAUUCAAAGCCAGGCACAGCAGCUCAUACCUGUAAUCCCAGCAACUCAAGAGGCUGAAGCAGGAGGAUGCAAGUUCAAGGCCAGCCUCAACAAUUAAUAGAAACCCUGUCUCAAAAUAAAAAAUAAAAUGAACUGGGAAUGUA